rnacentral:rRNA from 1 species
GCAAGGAAUUUUCCGCAAUGGGCGCAAGCCUGACGGAGCAACGCCGCGUGCGGGAUGACGCCUCUCGGGGUGUAAACCGCUGUUCGGGGGGACGAAGCACUGACGGUACCCCCGGAGGAAGGCCCGGCUAACUACGUGCCAGCAGCCGCGGUAAUACGUAGGGGUCGAGCGUUGUCCGGAGUUACUGGGCGUAAAGCGUGUGCAGGCGGCUCGUUGCGCCCGGCGUGAAAGCCCCCGGCUCAACCGGGGAGGGUCGUCGGGGACGGGCGAGCUUGAGGGUAUCAGGGGCUGGUGGAAUUCCCGGUGUAGUGGUGAAAUGCGUAGAGAUCGGGAGGAACACCCGUGGCGAAGGCGGCCAGCUGGGAUACACCUGACGCUGAGACACGAAGGCGUGGGGAGCGAACGGGAUUAGAUACCCCUGUAGUCC